rnacentral:rRNA from 1 species
GAUGACUACUAACUGAAAUCAUACUUGUGUCAAGUAUGAUAACGUAAGGGAAGAUAAUGACAUUACCUUACUAUUAGUGUUGUCCAAAUCUGGUGCCAGAAGACUCGGUAAGGCCAAAACGCGAACGUUAGUCGUCCUAAUCAGGCGUAAAGGGUGUGUAGGCAGCUUUAAACUUUAUUCUUUUUUCUUUAAAAAAUAUAGACUAAUUUAUUUAAAAAUUAUAAUAAAAAAAUUAUAAAAAUAUAAAUAAAUUAAGGAAGGAAUGAACUAAUAAAAGCUAGAAUCAAAUAGAGGAUAUAUUAAAUAAUAUUUAGAGGAGGUCUUAUAUCCUUAGAUACUAAAUGGAAUAUUAAGAGUGAAAGCUUUUUAUCUACUAAAGAUUGACGCUGAGAAACGAAGGUGAGUAUAGGAAAUAGGAUUAGAUACCCAGAUACCACUCUCUGUCAACGAUGAAUGGUGGUUGCCAAUUAUAAAAAAUAGGUGGCUCUGUUAACACUAUAACCAUUUCCGCCAUGUUAGUAUGACUGCAAAGUUGAAAACAAAAAAAUUAGUCGGUCUCGAAGCAAACGA